rnacentral:lncRNA from 1 species
GAAAGAGUCUCUGGAGUCAGCUGUUGUCAUCCCAGACCUUGAAGAACCUAUUAAGUGAAGUGUUUAGGAGAAAAAUCAGGGAUGCAAUAUAGACUUAGAAAUCAUAAAUAUUUAGAGAGCCACUGAAGCCACAGAUGUGGAUGAGAUGACCUUGGCCAAAGGAAUAUCACCUGAUGCUGCAAUUGGCCAGCUCUGGCCCACUGCCUGUUUUUAUAUAGCCUAAUAGCUAAGAAUGCUUUUAUUUUUUUAAGUAUUGUGGGGGUGGUUGGGAUCUAAUAAGGAAUAAUAUUUCAUGAUACAUGAAAAAUAUAUGAAAUUUAGAUUCCAGUGUCCAUAAAUGAAUCUUACUGGAACAGAGCCACACACAUUUGUUAUAUUGUUUGGAGCUGUUUUCACACUCUGGUGACAGAGUUGAAUAAUUGUGACAGAGACAAUAUAGGACCAGAUGUUACCUUGCACCACCUCUCAGUUUACUGCAAAUCACAGUGAUAGGUUUAUUGCUAGACUUUGACUUAUAGCUGCUAAGCCUAAAUAUUUACCAUUUGUUACUUUAUAAAAAGAAGUUUGCUGCUCCCUGACCUGAGGUCUAAGUUGAGAAACACUUGGUCACUUUAAUUAUUGUAAAAGAGACUGCAACCAUUUUAUCUAUUUCUUUAUGUGUACCUUCCAAGAAUCAGCUGUAGAGACUAAGACAUUAGUAGUAAAAGUUAUAAUUUCAAUUGAAGAUCCUGAAGGUGAUAUGAGGGAUGGACCAGAGAGAAAGAUGUGGGCCUGGAAGCUUUAUGAGAAAGGUAAGCAAAUGAUCAUCCUGACCAUGGACAGGCACACUUGGGAAGGCUGAGGUAGUG